UACAGAGGUCUCAAGCGUUGUUCGGAUUCAUUGGGCGUAAAGGGUGCGUAGGCGGCGCGGUCAGUCGGGUGUGAAAUCUCGGGGCUUAACUCCGAAACUGCAUUCGAUACUGCCGUGCUUGAGGACUGGAGAGGAGACUGGAAUUUACGGUGUAGCGGUGAAAUGCGUAGAUAUCGUAAGGAAGACCAGUGGCGAAGGCGGGUCUCUGGACAGUUCCUGACGCUGAGGCACGAAGGCCAGGGGAGCAAACGGG
rnacentral:rRNA from 1 species